rnacentral:rRNA from 1 species
GUCGAACGCUGGCGGCGUGCUUAACACAUGCAAGUCGAACGGAAAGGCCCUGCUUUUGUGGGGUGCUCGAGUGGCGAACGGGUGAGUAACACGUGAGUAACCUGCCCCUGACUUUGGGAUAACUUCAGGAAACUGGGGCUAAUACCGGAUCGGAGCUCCUCCUGCAUGGUGGGGGGUGGAUAGUUUCGGCGGUUGGGGAUGGACUCGCGGCUUAUCAGCUUGUUGGUGGGGGAGUGGCUUACCAAGGCUUUGACGGAUAGCCGGCCUGUGAGGGUGACCGGCCACAUGAGUACUGAGAGACGGACCAGUGUGCAACGUUGGGCAGCGGUGGGGAAUAUGACGCAGUGGGGGGGAGCGUGAGGCGGCAACGUCGCGUGCGGGAAGUCGGCCUUGGGGGUGUGAACCGAGUACAGCUGAGACGAAGCGUGAGUGACGGUAAUGGGUAAAGAAGCACCGGCUAACUACGUG